rnacentral:rRNA from 2 species
GGGUUGUGAGGUUAAGCGACUAAGCGUACACGGUGGAUGCCCUGGCAGUCAGAGGCGAUGAAGGACGUGCUAAUCUGCGAUAAGCGUCGGUAAGGUGAUAUGAACCGUUAUAACCGGCGAUUUCCGAAUGGGGAAACCCAGUGUGUUUCGACACACUAUCAUUAACUGAAUCCAUAGGUUAAUGAGGCGAACCGGGGGAACUGAAACAUCUAAGUACCCCGAGGAAAAGAAAUCAACCGAGAUUCCCCCAGUAGCGGCGAGCGAACGGGGAGCAGCCCAGAGCCUGAAUCAGUAUGUGUGUUAGUGGAAGCGUCUGGAAAGGCGCGCGAUACAGGGUGACAGCCCCGUACACAAAAAUGCACAUGCUGUGAGCUCGAUGAGUAGGGCGGGACACGUGGUAUCCUGUCUGAAUAUGGGGGGACCAUCCUCCAAGGCUAAAUACUCCUGACUGACCGAUAGUGAACCAGUACCGUGAGGGAAAGGCGAAAAGAACCCCGGCGAGGGGAGUGAAAAAGAACCUGAAACCGUGUACGUACAAGCAGUGGGAGCACGCUUAGGCGUGUGACUGCGUACCUUUUGUAUAAUGGGUCAGCGACUUAUAUUCUGUAGCAAGGUUAACCGAAUAGGGGAGCCGAAGGGAAACCGAGUCUUAACUGGGCGUUAAGUUGCAGGGUAUAGACCCGAAACCCGGUGAUCUAGCCAUGGGCAGGUUGAAGGUUGGGUAACACUAACUGGAGGACCGAACCGACUAAUGUUGAAAAAUUAGCGGAUGACUUGUGGCUGGGGGUGAAAGGCCAAUCAAACCGGGAGAUAGCUGGUUCUCCCCGAAAGCUAUUUAGGUAGCGCCUCGUGAAUUCAUCUCCGGGGGUAGAGCACUGUUUCGGCAAGGGGGUCAUCCCGACUUACCAACCCGAUGCAAACUGCGAAUACCGGAGAAUGUUAUCACGGGAGACACACGGCGGGUGCUAACGUCCGUCGUGAAGAGGGAAACAACCCAGACCGCCAGCUAAGGUCCCAAAGUCAUGGUUAAGUGGGAAACGAUGUGGGAAGGCCCAGACAGCCAGGAUGUUGGCUUAGAAGCAGCCAUCAUUUAAAGAAAGCGUAAUAGCUCACUGGUCGAGUCGGCCUGCGCGGAAGAUGUAACGGGGCUAAACCAUGCACCGAAGCUGCGGCAGCGACGCUUAUGCGUUGUUGGGUAGGGGAGCGUUCUGUAAGCCUGCGAAGGUGUGCUGUGAGGCAUGCUGGAGGUAUCAGAAGUGCGAAUGCUGACAUAAGUAACGAUAAAGCGGGUGAAAAGCCCGCUCGCCGGAAGACCAAGGGUUCCUGUCCAACGUUAAUCGGGGCAGGGUGAGUCGACCCCUAAGGCGAGGCCGAAAGGCGUAGUCGAUGGGAAACAGGUUAAUAUUCCUGUACUUGGUGUUACUGCGAAGGGGGGACGGAGAAGGCUAUGUUGGCCGGGCGACGGUUGUCCCGGUUUAAGCGUGUAGGCUGGUUUUCCAGGCAAAUCCGGAAAAUCAAGGCUGAGGCGUGAUGACGAGGCACUACGGUGCUGAAGCAACAAAUGCCCUGCUUCCAGGAAAAGCCUCUAAGCAUCAGGUAACAUCAAAUCGUACCCCAAACCGACACAGGUGGUCAGGUAGAGAAUACCAAGGCGCUUGAGAGAACUCGGGUGAAGGAACUAGGCAAAAUGGUGCCGUAACUUCGGGAGAAGGCACGCUGAUAUGUAGGUGAAGCGACUUGCUCGUGGAGCUGAAAUCAGUCGAAGAUACCAGCUGGCUGCAACUGUUUAUUAAAAACACAGCACUGUGCAAACACGAAAGUGGACGUAUACGGUGUGACGCCUGCCCGGUGCCGGAAGGUUAAUUGAUGGGGUCAGCGCAAGCGAAGCUCUUGAUCGAAGCCCCGGUAAACGGCGGCCGUAACUAUAACGGUCCUAAGGUAGCGAAAUUCCUUGUCGGGUAAGUUCCGACCUGCACGAAUGGCGUAAUGAUGGCCAGGCUGUCUCCACCCGAGACUCAGUGAAAUUGAACUCGCUGUGAAGAUGCAGUGUACCCGCGGCAAGACGGAAAGACCCCGUGAACCUUUACUAUAGCUUGACACUGAACAUUGAGCCUUGAUGUGUAGGAUAGGUGGGAGGCUUUGAAGUGUGGACGCCAGUCUGCAUGGAGCCGACCUUGAAAUACCACCCUUUAAUGUUUGAUGUUCUAACGUGGACCCGUGAUCCGGGUUGCGGACAGUGUCUGGUGGGUAGUUUGACUGGGGCGGUCUCCUCCUAAAGAGUAACGGAGGAGCACGAAGGUUGGCUAAUCCUGGUCGGACAUCAGGAGGUUAGUGCAAUGGCAUAAGCCAGCUUGACUGCGAGCGUGACGGCGCGAGCAGGUGCGAAAGCAGGUCAUAGUGAUCCGGUGGUUCUGAAUGGAAGGGCCAUCGCUCAACGGAUAAAAGGUACUCCGGGGAUAACAGGCUGAUACCGCCCAAGAGUUCAUAUCGACGGCGGUGUUUGGCACCUCGAUGUCGGCUCAUCACAUCCUGGGGCUGAAGUAGGUCCCAAGGGUAUGGCUGUUCGCCAUUUAAAGUGGUACGCGAGCUGGGUUUAGAACGUCGUGAGACAGUUCGGUCCCUAUCUGCCGUGGGCGCUGGAGAACUGAGGGGGGCUGCUCCUAGUACGAGAGGACCGGAGUGGACGCAUCACUGGUGUUCGGGUUGUCAUGCCAAUGGCACUGCCCGGUAGCUAAAUGCGGAAGAGAUAAGUGCUGAAAGCAUCUAAGCACGAAACUUGCCCCGAGAUGAGUUCUCCCUGACUCCUUGAGAGUCCUGAAGGAACGUUGAAGACGACGACGUUGAUAGGCCGGGUGUGUAAGCGCAGCGAUGCGUUGAGCUAACCGGUACUAAUGAACCGUGAGGCUUAACCUUACAACGCCGAAGGUGUUU